rnacentral:rRNA from 1 species
UCCUUAGAUGUUCUGGGCCGCACGCGCGCUACACUGAUGCAUGCAACAAGUCUUUUCCUUGGCCGAGAGGCCUGGGCAAUCUUUGAAUAUGCAUCGUGAUGGGGAUAGACGAUUGCAAUUAUUCGUCUUCAACGAGGAAUUCCUAGUAAACGCAAGUCAUCAGCUUGCAUUGAUUACGUCCCUGCCCUUUGUACACACCGCCCGUCGCACCUACCGAUUGAAUGGUCCGGUGAAGGCUUCGGAGGCGGCUUUCUCAAUGUUUAUUCGGCGAGACUGCUGCCAAAGUUGAAUGAACCUUACCAUUUAGAGGAAGGUGAAGUCGUAACA